rfam:Lonchura striata domestica isolate white83orange57 scaffold_73, whole genome shotgun sequence.
GAAAAGGUUUUUUUUGAAACCAAAUGAUUGAUCAAACAAAAUUCAU